UUCAUUUCUGCACAUGGCACAUCAGGGAAAACCUCACAGAGAGCUCACAUUCAUCACAAGUCGAGCACAUCCUGCCUGGAGUCCGUUGCAGGAAAGAGUGGGUCACCGCAGCAUUAUGUAAUGGGCUCUUUGCUGUCAUGGCAACACUGUGGGAACUGGAACUGUGUAUUCGUGUGGCAGGAGGCUGCGGCGUGUGUUGACAGAACGUUCCUCACGUUGGGUUCCUGGAUGGGCCAGACUAUAAACACUCAGUCAAGGAGUUCCUUCUCUUCCACAGUUUGGGUUUGGAGUCUUGCGAAGGCAAAGCCAGUCUGAAGUUUCCAUCCUUCAGCGUGGAGCAGCACUUUCCUGAACUCCAGCCAGGAAAAUGUGUGUCGGCUUGGCAGCUCGACUGUGGGAAGACUAUGGGCAAAAACUGGUGGAGUUUUGCGGCAAAUGGCUUUAUAUAGCCUUACAGCUCCUUGGGACUCCCUCUUUGGUGUAGACAGAGCGAUAGAGGAAGAAGUCUGGCCUCCUCCUCCUGUUUUCUUUGUUAUCUACUCUACACGACUUCCUGCAUGAGCACUGAGGCAGGCCUGUCCACUCAGAGAGAGACUCCCACGUCAGGUUCGUAUUAUGAGUGAACAACUGUGGGCUGAACAACCAAUCAGUCAUAGAUUCACCCAGCCAUUCCCUGCUGGAUGGAAGCGCAUCCGACCAGAGACGUCUG